GACGGGCUCUGAAAAACAAAAAGCGUCCAGACACAUUCAAACAGAAAUAAAGCGCUUUGGUGGAGCACUGUUGAAUCCGGCCAGGAGAGGGCUGUCGAGUACACGGACUCUGCUUCCUGGAGCUGUUUAAUAUUUGCUCUGUACAGACUCUGGCAUUUCAGGAAAGCCAAACGAAGCGGUUUCGUACUUAUUCUGACGCAACCAACAUUAAUAAGCAAAAAUAGUCAUUGCCGCCUUGCACCAUUGCUGUGCUCGAGCACAGCGGUAGCGACAGAGUGUAAAUGAAAAGAAUUGGGUUCAAAGAAUCCUGCUGGAGAAGAAAAUCUGCCCUGUGAGCGAGAUUUUUGGAAACCAAAGGAGCUGCUGUUAGAAAUACCCGCGGCUCAUGUCGACAAGAGGCGGGAUGCCCGAACAAUCACUCAACCAGCCAAAAGGCUUUCGGCUACUUGGAGUUUUAUGUAAACUUGUCCUGUUUGGCAAAGGUAACACCGGUGUGUCAGAAGGGAUCAGCAAAGAGGUAUAUAGUAAGACCACCUUCAAAACCUUAGGACGACGUAGCACAAUGCGGCGCAGCCUCUUCCUAUCGCCACGGAAGAAAAGAAAGUGCCAUUGUCAGAGCGCUGUGGCCUUUGAAAGCAGAACAGCUCAGCCAUCAAAGCUCCCAGCACUCCUCCGCAAUCGCUAUUCACUGCGGCUUCGUGGGCAGGAACUAAACCAGUUUUAUGAAGUUCUAAGGGGAGGGGGAAAAAAGAAAUUAGCUCCUGAAAAUGAGUCUCUUGUAGUAAGUGCUGCAAAUAAUGAACAGCUGCAGCGUUUCCUUUGGAAGGUGAAACGAAGGAAACGCAGCCUUAAUGGGCAUUUAAAGCGGGAACGGGUCAGUCUCCACGAUGUUUAUUGGGCAUAAUGGAAGCAUUCGGUUGUCAAAGGAAGCAUUAAAAAAAAAUGGACAGAGGUAGGUAGGACGCAUUAUUUAAACACAUAUUUAUCCAUCAGAAAGAAAACGGCUGCAGAUUAGAGGCGAGUGAGAUCAACCGCAGCUCAGUUGUAGCCUUGACCAUAUGGUUUGGUCUUGCAAAUCAAUAAACUACCUGUUUUUUCCUGUUACCCUUCAUUCUUCCCUUCAAGGGACUGGUCCUCAUCCUUUUCCUUCAUUAUCAAGCCAAUGGGUGCUUCAUUCCAGAAAACCUUGGUUUCCAGGUCAUCUCUACACCUUUUGCUGCAGCACACUCCGCCCGGCCUGCUCUCCAUUUAUUAAUGCUCCGAUAUUCCUUUUUCCAACAAGUUCCACCCAAAAUAUCUGGAAAAACAACCACUCAAACUGAACUGCAGCCUGAGCCUACUUAAAAUAUAACCUUCCCUUUCUCUUAUAUACAGUUGCUACAACUUUAUGAUUUUGGGGAAGAGAAGUUUACAACACAACAAAAUAAUAAACAUUAGGAUUUGACGCCAAUUUGGGACAGAACAGAAGGACCAACAUGUAUAAAACACCUUAUCAGACAGACCCUAUUACUGCAGGCUAAAUGCUGCACAAAUAGACAAGUGCAUUAGGUAGAAACGACAACAGGCAAAUACAUGGAAAAGCACAUUUGUUACAUUUCUGGCUGUGCACCAAGGGAGGGGAGGGACCGUUGACCAUUAACUCAUGUAUAUCCAUGGAAUUGCCUGGUUUGUUGGAAUCGUGGUUACGCUGUUUAGGUCAAGCUCAGCAAAGCCCAGAUUGGGUGCUCUGAACACCAAGGCCGCCACGUCAGAGCUCUGAUCCAAGCUUGAGACCUCCGAGUAAUACAAACCAAUUAAUUCUGGUCCUGUUGAAGACUAAUAGAACCUGUGCGAUCGAUGUGCUGGGCAACGGGAUGCCCUCUCAGGCAAGAAACAAGAACAAAUUACUUUUCCCUUUCAUUUGACGGAAAUCAGACCCUUCAAGGAGAGGUAAAUGUAAUUAUCAAGCUACAGUCUCUCCUGUUCUGACAAGCUGUGCUUUACCCAACCCAGAUGGGAGGCAAGAUCCUUAUUGUGCGACAGCGCGACCUUCACGCUUCCCAGAACCGGAAUAUUCAUUUGAUGAGCAACCUUAACGAUGGGAUACGACAGAAACUUCUCUUCCCCCUGCCCAUUUAUAUGCUCUCAGAAGCCAGGAUUAAUUGUCAAUAUAUUUUGUAUAAAAACAGCAGUCCAAAAACGCAUCCAGGGAAACCGUGUCCCAUCCAGCGUUCCCUAGGGAAACAAACUACUGCAAAUAUCUCCUGUCCCUGACUCACUUUGUGUCUCUGUUUACGCCGAUAUAAUUAGUACAGUUGUGGAACCAGAGUUCUGUUGUCUAGCAAACUCACUCCACGGUGAUUUUAGCCUGUGCUGGAUUAUUUUGACUCCACAAACCCCAAUCUAAGCAGCGUGUGGAGUCAACAGCAAGAUGAUGGAGCCUCCGUCUUCUCAAACCCUACAGAAAACAUGCUGCUGUUGAAAUCUGGUUUUGCAUGGACUUUUUGAUGGAGCUGGAUAACGUGAGCUCACCCACAGUGAGAAACGCUGGGUAACCCUUCCCUGGCUACUUUGCAAGCGCAUUUUAUAACGUUAAGAGAUUCCAUCCCAUGUGCCCCUUGGCCAUCUCUCUUCUGAGCUGUGGGGUGCUGUCCAUUCCAUUCUGAAUUCUAUCUGUUAGAACCCUAUUAAAAAAUAUAAUAAUAAAAA